UAUCUCACCACUUGUUCUCCCACUUGCAAUUCACCACCAGCUUUCUUUUCUUAUUCAUUUUCUUUCUUUCUCCUUCAUUCACGUCCCUUAUUUUCUUUUCCUGCAACACUUCUUCUUUCUUUCAUUUUCUUUUGCUGAAGCAACCCAUAGGAUAUUUUGAAUUCAGAUAUUUUCUAUCUAUCCUCGUCACGUUCUUAUCUGCUUCUUCUCUAUCCUUUCCUUUACAUAUCUGAAUGAUUAUUAUCAUCACAUUUUGGCACAGCAUAAUCCCAAUCCCCUCACCUCUCGACCCAUUCUCUCUUCUCACCACCAACAUCACCAUUCUUCUUCGUUUUUGUCUCUUCUUGGCAGCAAGCAUCACCGUCAUCUUUCUUUCCCUUGGCAGUCCACGCACACCAUGUUUCUUCUUCUACAAAUCACGUUUUUCUUCUCCUUUCUUCUUCUUCAUUACUUUUCUUUUCUCCAUGGCUGGCCAAACGCACCACAACCCUCUGUCCUUCUUCCUCACGUAGCUCCCUUGGACAGCCACAGUAACCAUAAUCUCUAUGGACUUAUAUGGGUACGAAGGACGAGAGCGCCUUGCGACGAAGCUAAAGAAUAGAAGGAAGCGAGCCGACACAGAAAACAAAGAUGUGAUAGGAUUGGAGUUGCAGUUUAGGAAGAAAAUUGGCUAAGAUGCCGUUGAUGGAUUCUUUCGUGAUUCUUCGUCGUUCGGGGAAGACCCGGAGCGAAAUGACUACUACUGAGCCUUCGGCGUGGACCCGGACUUCAGGCAUGACCAGAUGAGAGUCGAUGAUGGAAGUAUAGGGGAUGGGUGUUUAGAGUCUACUAAGGUUGGGUGUUAGUGUCCUAGCUCUGACUCAUUCUUAUUUUGAGGGCUUGUGUUGCUGACACUUGACCUAUCCUUUUGGGAUUGUACAUUUUGCCUACGGGCGUUACACUUUUCUACUUUCCGUCACUGGAGGUUACUCGUGACGAGGUUGCUACUUACAACGGGGGCUGUAUUUAUGUUAUAUACUAGUUUUGUUAUCUUUUGUUGGGAGUUUAUUUCUUUCAGUCUUUGAUUCUAUUAUCAAAAAAAAAUAAUUCACGUUUUCCGCUUUAAGUUUCUUGUUGGUUACUAAAGUGACGCCACCGAAAUCGGGGUGUUACAAAAUUGAUUAAUAUGA